rnacentral:rRNA from 1 species
CUUGCUUCUCUUGAGAGCGGCGGACGGGUGAGUAAUGCCUAGGAAUCUGCCUGGUAGUGGGGGAUAACGUCCGGAAACGGACGCUAAUACCGCAUACGUCCUACGGGAGAAAGCAGGGGACCUUCGGGCCUUGCGCUAUCAGAUGAGCCUAGGUCGGAUUAGCUAGUUGGUGGGGUAAUGGCUCACCAAGGCGACGAUCCGUAACUGGUCUGAGAGGAUGAUCAGUCACACUGGAACUGAGACACGGUCCAGACUCCUACGGGAGGCAGCAGUGGGGAAUAUUGGACAAUGGGCGAAAGCCUGAUCCAGCCAUGCCGCGUGUGUGAAGAAGGUCUUCGGAUUGUAAAGCACUUUAAGUUGGGAGGAAGGGCAGUAAAUUAAUACUUUGCUGUUUUGACGUUACCGAUAGAAUAAGCACCGGCUAACUCUGUGCCAGCAGCCGCGGUAAUACAGAGAGUGCAAGCGUUAAUCGGAAUUACUGGGCGUAAAGCGCGCGUAGGUGGUUCGUUAAGUUGGAUGUGAAAUCCCCGGGCUCAACCUGGGAACUGCAUUCAAAACUGACGAGCUAGAGUAUGGUAGAGGGUGGUGGAAUUUCCUGUGUAGCGGUGAAAUGCGUAGAUAUAGGAAGGAACACCAGUGGCGAAGGCGACCACCUGGACUGAUACUGACACUGAGGUGCGAAAGCGUGGGGAGCAAAC